GUUUUUUUCCUUGGUAGAGACAGAGUCUUGCCAUGCUGCCCAGGCUGGAGUGCAGUGCUGUGAUCUCGGCUCACUGCAACCUCCACCUCCGGGGCUCCAGCAAUCCUCCCACCUCAGCCUCCCAAGGAGCUGAGACUACAGGUGUGAGCCACCAUGCCUGGCUAAUUUUUAUAUUUUUUACAGAGACAGGGUUUCACUAUCUUGCCCAGGCUGGUCUCAAACUCCUGGGCUCAAGCAGUCCUCCUGCCUCAGCCUCCCAGAGUAUUGGGAUUAUAGGUGUGAGCCACUGCCAGAAAAACUUUUCCUAAGACAAGGCAGGUUUUACAUUAUAUUUAGAUUUUUUUUUUAAUGAUGUCUUUUUUGGCAGUGCACAGCCAGAGAACAACACAUCACACACAGGAAACAGUUGUGCUCAUGUGAUGGGGGCCUCAGCACUAGGAAGGAGUGGACUAUUGGCACACGCAGCAGCUUGAAUAAAUCUGAAAGUCACUACGCUGCAUAAGAGAAGCCAAAUUUUAAAAGUGCAUACUGUGUACAGAGGGUGUCGAGAAUGCCUCCUACGUGACGGAAAGCAGAUCUGUGGUUCCCUGCAGACUGGCAGGAGCAGAUUCCAAAGGCACAGGAAGAAGCUUGUGGGUAGAGUGUGUUCAUUAUCUUCUGUGCAUUACACCAUAAAAAAGCUGGUCAUAAAAAUGCGAACCAAAAACAAAGGUGAAACUAGGAUAAAAUUUCUCACCUGUGUGAUUGGUAAAUGUGCAGGUUUGACAUCAUGCUUUGUUUAUGAAGCUGUGGGAUACAAGGACUCUCAUACGUCACUGUGGAAUGCAGAACAUUGCAACCUCAUGGAAGAGGAUUUGGCAGCAUCUAACAAAAGUAUGUGGCAUUUGCCCUUUGGCUCAGCAAUUCUAGACUCUGCCUCAAAAAAAACUCUGGCAAAAAACUGAAAGGACUUUACUCACAGAAUUCUUUUCACGCCUAAAUGUGUUUGCAACCAAGUUCUUCACUGUGGCAUUUGUAAAACUGGAAACAAUCAAAAUGUCCAUCAGUAGGGGAUUAGGAACAUUAAUUCGUACAGUGGGGAACUCAGUACCAGAAGAAGGGAUGAGGAAGACCUAUCGAUAAGGGGCAGAGUACAUAUCAUAUGAUGCAAAUAUAUAUUUGCUUUUCCUUAAAACAGUACAAAGAUAAAAACUAAAGUGGUUGCUGUGGAGGACAGGGGUCAGUGGUGGAAGUGAGACUGAAAUAGACUCUGAAGUAAUAUCUGGACUUUGAAAUUGUAAGUGUUUUACAUAUUACCAAACUAAGUUUUAAGAUAGUCCCUAAAAUUGAAAGAAUAGUAUCUGAAAUGAAUGAAUCUAAAUUCCUUGGAUUGCGUUCUGCAGGUGCCAACCCUGAGACCAAAAUUUGGAAGGUGGCCCUGAGCAGCAGCUGAAGGGAAGCAGGAGGUGAGACAGGAAAGAGAUGGUGGUCUCCGCUGUAGCUUUGUCCCCUGGUGACGGGACUCGGCAGCAUCCCCCAUCAAUGGCAAUACCCCCACCUCUGAGAAUGUGGAGAGGACUUGUGAAGACAAUGUUGUCCCAAGCAGCACAGCCCAGGUACUGACAGGAUUCAGAGC
rnacentral:lncRNA from 1 species